UACGAAGGGGGCUAGCGUUGCUCGGAAUUACUGGGCGUAAAGCGCACGUAGGCGGAUUGUUAAGUCGGGGGUGAAAUCCUGGAGCUCAACUCCAGAACUGCCUUCGAUACUGGCGAUCUCGAGUUCGGGAGAGGUGAGUGGAACUGCGAGUGUAGAGGUGAAAUUCGUAGAUAUUCGCAAGAACACCAGUGGCGAAGGCGGCCAUCUGGACGGUCACUGACGCUGAGACGCGAAAGCGUGGGUAGCAAACAGG
rnacentral:rRNA from 1 species